GGUCCUACGGGACGCAGCAGUGGGGAGUAUUGCGCAAUGGGGGAAACCCUGACGCAGCAACGCCGCGUGCGGGAUGAAGGCCUUCGGGUUGUAAACCGCUUUCAGCAGGGAAGAUCCAAGACGGUACCUGCAGAAGAAGCCCCGGCUAACUACGUGCCAGCAGCCGCGGUAAUACGUAGGGGGCAAGCGUUAUCCGGAUUCAUUGGGCGUAAAGCGCGCGCAGGCGGGUUGCUAAGCGGGACCUCUAAUCCCAGGGCUCAACCUUGAGACGGGUCCCGAAAUGGCAGCCUCGGGUUCG
rnacentral:rRNA from 1 species